rnacentral:rRNA from 1 species
AGUAACGCGUGAGCAACCUGCCUAUGACAGUGGGAUAGCCUCGGGAAACCGGGAUUAAUACCGCAUAAAAUCGUAGAAACACAUGUUUCAACGGUCAAAGAUUUAUCGGUCAUAGAUUGGCUCGCGUCUGAUUAGCUAGUUGGUGAGAUAACAGCCCACCAAGGCGACGAUCAGUAGCCGGUCUGAGAGGAUGAACGGCCACAUUGGAACUGAGACACGGUCCAA